rnacentral:rRNA from 1 species
AAUGUCCGAUAGAUCAUUAUGCCUGGAACGGUUUAUGGUCGAAACGAAUAUCGCCGUAGGAUGGGACUGCGAGCUAUCAGCUUGUUGGUGAGGUAAUGGCCCACCAAGGCAAUUACAGCUACGGGCUCUGAGAGGAGUAGCCCGGAGAUGGGUACUGAGACAAGGACCCAGGCCCUAUGGGGCGCAGCAGGCGAGAAAACUUUGCAAUGUGCGAAAGCCCGACAAGGUUAAUCUGAGUGGUUUCUGCUAAAGGAACCUUUUGUUAGUCCUAAAAACACUGAUGAAUAAGGGGUGGGCAAGUUCUGGUGUCAGCCGCCGCGGUAAAACCAGCACCUCAAGUGGUCAGGAUGAUUAUUGGGCCUAAAGCAUCCGUAGCCUGUUCUAUAAGUUUCCGGUUAAAUCCAUACGCUCAACGUAUGGGCUGCCGGAAAUACUGUAGAACUAGGGAGUGGGAGAGGUAGACGGUACUCGAUAGGAAGAGGUAAAAUUCUUUGAUCUAUUGAUGACCACCUGUGGCGAAGGCGGUCUACCAGAACACGUUCGACGGUGAGGGAUGAAAGCUGGGGGAGCAAACCGGAUUAGAUACCCGGGUAGUCCCAGCCGUAAACGAUGCAAACU